CCCUCCAUUGAAGGCUCUCGGCCAACAGCCCUGAAAAUUCACUUCCAUUUUUAGCUCUCCAAAAAUUAAUUUCUUGGUGUUAAACCACUAAUUAGAGGUCCCUAAGUAACUUGAAAGCAUUGUUGGGGUGAUCAAGUCCUUCAUUCAAGAGAUUGGAAAACCCUAGCCUAUUAAAAGUUGAAGAGAAAAAGAUCGUGGGCAGCCCGAAUCAUAGUUUGGACUUAGCUUGAGUUGGAUCAUAUUGGAGAGCGUUUGAGGUACGGACGCACAGCCUGGUGAUCCACCUGUUUAGGACACCCCCUUCUGCUAUUCGGAGUGCUCCUCUCAUUCUGGAGCCUAUAUUUUUGGUAUAUAAUUGUUAGUGCAUUUGUAUAUAUUCG